rnacentral:rRNA from 1 species
UACGUAGGGUGCAAGCGUUGUCCGGAAUUAUUGGGCGUAAAGAGCUCGUAGGCGGUCUGUCGCGUCUGCUGUGAAAACUCGGGGCUUAACCCCGGGCCUGCAGUGGGUACGGGCAGACUAGAGUGCGGUAGGGGAGACUGGAAUUCCUGGUGUAGCGGUGAAAUGCGCAGAUAUCAGGAGGAACACCGGUGGCGAAGGCGGGUCUCUGGGCCGUAACUGACGCUGAGGCACGAAGGCCAGGGGAGCAAACGGG